AAAUUAUUCUAUAUAUAAAGGGUGGGUUUACUGUUAUACUGUUCAUAAGAGUUGGAAAAGGCGUGUUUGUCCUCACUGUUCGAGGAGAAUAUCAAGCUAGUGGAAAAGUCGAUUUCGUCCUUGCUUUUGUUAGUGUUGGAUGUGAUACCUGAUCAGGAUUUGAGUGGUUUACAUCAUCAUCAGAAAGAGCGAAAGAAGAGAGAGGAAAGAAGAGAGGAAGGGAGAAGAUCUAGGUGACAAUAGACUGGUUGCAAGGAAAGGAGAGCAUUUCGGUGACAAUAGACCGGUUGCAAGCUGUGAAACUCGAAUUGUAUUGCUAAUCUCAGAAUACAUAGUUGUACUGAAAACAAAUAGAACAGAUUCUGUGGGUUCUACAGUUUCAGAUCCAGGUAACUCACUGCAAGAACUUCAAGGUUUAAAACAGAAUAGCAACUAAAGUGUCAAAGCUGCAGAGUUUCAAAUAAAAGGUUUAAAACAAAACAUCAGUAACUAAGUGUCAAAGCACUAGAGUUUAAAAUCAAGGGUUGAAGUGAAGACAAUAUCUCUAUUUCAUACAGGCAAACUUGCCCCCUCGCCUCUUGAGGUUUUUUUCCUUUUCACGCAAUUUCAAUUUUAUCAACUAUCUGUGUUAGAAUUGAUUGGGGUACAUUGGGUUUGGUUUUGAUUUUGUUUUCCGCUUUCAUCGGUUAUGAACUGAUUGGGGUUUUAAUUUUUUAGUAGUUUUGUUUGUGUCGGAGUUUCAGAUUUUAGUGGCCGAUUGGCCUUGCUGAUUUGAGUUUUAUUUUUGGUUAGUUUUUGUGGUAAAGUUAAAGUCUUUGGCCAUUUGAAAACCUUCAUUGAUUGUGGAGGUCUGAGUAUUCUGAUAUUCUGUAGCUCACUCUAUAAGUCUCAAUUAUGUCUAUGGUUACACCGGUGGUUGAUUUUCUUUUGAGAUAAGUUUAGUUUUCUCUUUUAAAACAAUGUAUAGAAAUGUCAGCUUAAUCAAGUAUAGAGCGUUUCAGGGUUUAGGUUUAGGAUGUAUAGUGUAUAUUUGAAUUAUUCUUUCAAAUUUAGUGUUUUUAGUUUUGGGUGUGGUAUGUUAGUGAUUUGAUUAUAAUAUUUUAGUGCUACGUUUUGAGUGUGCCACUAUAUUAGAAACAUGAAAUCAUAUGAGAGAUCUUACAAACUAGAACCAUGCCAGGAGCUGCUAACAAUUCAGUGGCAUUACCCAUUUCUAAGAUCCUCGACUAGGCACAGCGUUGGAUGUAAUACACAAGUAACGAUAACCUUGGAAAUAGCAAACUGCAUUUAUGUUUAAUCUCCUUCCUUUUUGCUUCUCUUUUUUUGUUUGUCGGCAAAGGGACAAACUGCAAUAUAGACAAUCGUUGGAAGCCCUCCUGUAGCUUGCUUUUCUUCAAAUGAUAAUCAUAAUAUAUUAGGAGAGCAAAGAGGAGAUUUAUAUAUAAAGUAUUUUUUAUUCCUACCGUCAACAUCCUUUGUUAGAGCCAGGGAUUACAUUUUGGUCAAGGUAGCCAAUUGCUUCUUAUGCCUUUUGUGAAGUCAUUACCAUUGCAAGGAGUUUUUGCAAGAGGACUAACCAUUUGUAUCUUUAACUUAUGAAGUGCAACUGCUAUGCAGGUUCUGUUUUGAUCAAUAUAUGCUAAAAUUUUGUAUCUACUGUGGGCUUUAAGUACAGUAAUAGCAAUAUAAAUCUUUUCCAAUUUUGGUUCACUGGUUUGCAUUUAGUUUUGUUUUAGCUUCUUUAAGUGAGAGAAGGGAAGUCUUUAAACGGACAUCCUUAUUACUACUGUGUUCAAAUAGAAGAAGAAGAA